rnacentral:lncRNA from 1 species
GGACACGGUCGUAAUGACCCUUUGUCCUCUCAUCUUUGACUUUAAUCCUCUCUUUUAGGACAAGGGGCCCUAGCCAAUAUAGUGGCAUCGAUCUCCGACUCGACCAUGGAUUCCGACACCUCACUGAUCUAUACAUUAGCCGAUCUUUCCCAAGAUGGCACUCGGGCGCCAAGCAAUGAACCAAAGAAAGCCCAGCUAUCUCCAAAAAUUUUAAAUCAAUCUUUGAAUCAUACGCUAUUACAAC